rnacentral:misc_RNA from 1 species
GAUGAAGAACGUAGCGAAAUGCGAUACGUAAUGUGAAUUGCAGAAUUCAGUGAAUCAUCGAAUCUUUGAACGCAUAUUGCGCUCUCUGGUAUUCCGGAGAGCAUGCUUGUUUGAGUAUCAGUAAACACCUCAACUUCCAUAUCUUUUUUGAAAUGGGAGUUGGACUUGAGUGAUCCCAACGCUUUUCCUCACCGAAAAGUGGCGGGUUACUUGAAAUGCAGGUGCAGCUGGACUUUUCUCUGAGCUAUAAGCAUAUCUAUUUAGUCUGCCUAAAAAACAGAUUAUUACCUUUGCUGCAGCUAACAUAAAGGAGAUUAGUUCUUGUGCUGACUGAUGCAGGAUUCACAAAGACGGCUUCGGCCGACUUUGUAAACUCGAUCUCAAAUCAAGUAAGACUACCCGCUGAACUUAAGUAUAUCAAUAAGCGGAGGA